ACGAGGGAUCCUAGCGUUGUUCGGAAUCAUUGGGCGUAAAGCGGGCGCAGGUGGCUUUGUAAGUCAGGUGUGAAAGCCCAGGGCUCAACCCUGGAAGUGCAUUUGAUACUGCAAAGCUUGAGUGCUAGAGAGGUGAGUAGAAUACCUGGUGUAGUGGUGAAAUACGUAGAUAUCGGGUGGAAUACCGGAGGCGAAGGCGGCUCACUGGCUAGACACUGACACUCAUGCCCGAAAGUGUGGGGAUCAAACAG
rnacentral:rRNA from 1 species